UGCUGCCCCUCACAGCCCGUCGGAGGUGCGCGCCGCCCCUCGCGGCUCCGUGCCGCCCUCAAAGCCAUUCACAAUCUCUCGCAGCCCCGACGGAACGACCCCCGGGGCCCCCGGUGAAGCACAAGGCGGCUUUGUGCUCCCGGACGGGGCGUUGUGCAGCGGCCGUUCCCCUGCAGGUGAUGGGGAGCACCGGGAGGGCUGAGGUAGCGCGCGGCUGAGUGGCACGUGGCGAGUCGGGCCCGGCGGGAGCCGCUCCGUCCUUCUUGUAACGUAUUUUCCUUCAUGGAGAACUUACUCAUGAGGCUGAAAUUUCUGAUAUGGGAGGAGAAGAGGAGAGAGGCUGGUUUGGAGCAGAGGACCAGAGGGAUAUCAUGUCCGUGCUGGCUUUUCUCUGCAUCUGUCUGUGUUGCACUGUUGCUGUCAGUAAGCACAAGCUGGAAAUCACCUACAGAUUGUUUUAAUUUGCACCAAGGACAAAAACAUCCAUCCUCUAUUGAGCGGAGUGCUCCUAGUUUCCAGUUCUACAUUACUUCGUCAGCAGGAUCACAGCUGGGCCUAAAAGGCACUCUGCUCUGCCCUUGGCCGUGCUGCUGAUGUGUUGCAGGACAUAGAGCUGUUUGUGUUGGAGAGCCUGAGCAGCCCCAGUGAGUGUACCAAAGGUCACAGGUGGAGGGAAGUGGAAUUCUGGGCAGUUUUGAGGUGUUGAGGAGAACCUUGCAGUGCUCAACAAUUCCUGAGCAACCUGCUGUAAAUCUUCUUGUAGCCAGUUCAGCCUUUGGAAGGAGUCAGAAGAGAUUUGUGGAGCUUGGCAGCGGUGUUGUUCCUGAGGAAGACUGGAGGAAGAAAACUCAAAACCACCCUUAUGAGCAGCUCUUUAAAACGAAUGGCUAACUGAAGGAAGAAGCCUUGUGCACUUGCAGUGCCAUGAUGUUCUGCCAUCCAAAGGGGAAUUAAUUGCUGAGUGGCAUGGAAAACACACAGCACAGACAGCAGGCAUGGUCCAGACCUCAAGGGACUAGUCAUGGUCUUAAAGGCUAAGAAAAUAAUCUGAGGUGCAUUGGAGAGAAAGUGUCUUAGUAAUGCUCCAUACAUAAUGCUGGUGUUCCCAGAGUUAGUGGCGUAUCUCCAAUAUUUGUCCAUUAAAACAUGGAGACAUUCAAAGAUAUGAAGAUACUUAUUGACCUAAGAAAUAUAUCAGCAAGAAGCUGAAUAUAUUAAAUGUAUAAACUCGUUUGAAUUACAAGGAGUAUCGUGGCACACACUGUAACAUAGCAGUGAAUGAGAGUGAGUGUAAGCUGAUGAUGGUGGAGGGAACCCAUGAAAGAGAGGGUGAAGAGGAAAGGUGUUUGAAUCUCCUUAUGGAAAUAGCAGGGUUUGGGACAGGGGAACUGCUCCAUGCACCUAAUGCAUCACAGGACAAGUCAGAGGUGAGGCAAUACACAGCCACUGUCAGGAAGAGGAAAACAUGACAGCGGAUCCAAAACUGGUGGCAAGCUGUGGUUAUCCCAGACUCCAGCUGUCCGUGUUUGUGGUAGGUGACCUGCAAGGAGAUCUCCCUGAGAUGGCUGCAUUUUUCUGUCAGAAGUGAGACACUGCUGCUCUCGGCUCACGCUGUGUUAGGAGCAGCGUGCAGCUCCCAGCAGAACCCCUGCUGAGUUGGCAGCUGGUGGCUGCUCAGGAGACUGGAGCGUGGCCUGGAGGGGACAUUGUCUGCCAAGGGCAUGGCGGGGACGUGCUGGGCUUUGGGAGGGCUGCCAAGCAGUGCUCGUGUGCAUCUCCUUGUCCUGCAGCCUGCACUGUGUGAUGGUGUGGUUGCGACCGAUCCCAUGGACAGCAGCAAGACUUCCAUCUGCAGCCAAAUGCCUUGGCUGGCUGCAGGAAGGACUUCCAAGCUGAAGGUGAGACGUUAACAGCACUUCUGAAAUGGUUACAGCUCCCACAUGUGAAGGGCAUUGACUCAGCUGUGUGUAGGGCAGCUUCCCUUCUUGCUGUAGCCAUUGAAACAGGUAUGAAUCAGCUGUGUGUGCACCAGGAAAGCAAAUAAGAAAGGUUUUCACAAAAAAGCUCUAAGAAUGUAAAACUGAUACCUGGAGGUGCAGGUAAGUGGCAUACUUUUUCCCUCCCCCGAUUUUGUAGCUUGCACUAUAUAUGCAUCAGAUUUAAAGGCAAGUAGUGUCUCUCUUUAUCAAACAGGCUUGAUAAAAGAACAAUCAUGUACAUUCAGUUAUAUCUCUGCUAAACGUAUCCUUUUUUAUUGCUUUCCAGUAGUUCAAAGCAUUAGCAUAAAACAAUCAAGGAGGUUGUUUUUCCUAAGAGAGAGAGUGCCUGUUUACAAACUCAUUUUAUUUUCACAAUACUCCAUUGUUAUUUAUUUCAGACAGAAAGCUGUCAGAUUAAUGCAUUCCCUCAUGCAGGACAGCUUGCUUUAUUGCCCGUUAUUAAGAUAUAACAUAUAUAACCUGACAAGCACUGCCCACGUCUGCAAUCUACCAGUGAAAGGCAAAUUAAGUAGAAAAUGGAGAUCUCCAAUAUUUCUUGGGGCUAAAGUGAUAUUAGUUUUUAACUCAUUUUGUAUUCAGAGGGGAUUCUGCCUGCUCACAACAUAUCUGACAGAGUAAACUGCCCAAAGAAGGCUUUUUUGAUUCGUAGAACAGCUACAUCUGAGAAACUGAUUUCAGAGUCACAGGAGUCAAUUCCCCUGGCAUAAAUGUGUGCCGACAAAGGAGGAAAAAAAAACCAAACACCCAACAAAUGAGUUGGAUGGUGCAAGAAACCAGUUGGAAAGCAACUCCUUCGGGAACAGUGGUGUAAGGUGAGUAACUGAGAUGCAUAAACCCAAUCCUAAAACAACCCAACAGAUAAUCCUUAUGGCCCCAAGGGUCCAAAUUCUAAACCCCAGUGCUCACAUUGUCCCAGUAAGGGCUCCCAGAUGGACGUGGGCACCAGACACAGCUGGUAACACCUUAGCUAAGUUGCUCCCUUUUCUGCGGUGCAUGCAUUCGGGCUACUGGCAAGACGCUUGUAUUCCUUCUCCUUUUCACAACAAUUUGUUGUCCAGGAUAUCCCACGUGGUCCCACUGACAGCAUCCAACUGACAGUUUCCACAGAACUGCUUGAAAGUCUCCACUGAGCCUCAACAUUGCACUGGGACUAUUAGACUGAAUUCCUGAACUUGUUGAGGGACAGAAACUGCUCUGGAGAAGUCAACAAGAGCGCGUGCGGUGCGGCAGACAAGAAGAUAAUUUUGGGCUGCAUAUUUGGAAGCACCACAUCACAAGCAAAUGAAAAUGCAUCAUCACAACACCGAAUUAAGAGUGAAGGAAAACACUGUCGGUAAGAUGCUGGAUAGACUGAAGAUAUUCAAGGUUGACGGACCAGAGCCUCUUGCAUCCAUACCUGUGACAGAUGAAAAAGAAAGGGUCCUGUUUUAAACACCAGGAGCUGCAUUCAGUCAAAAGGCUCAAGCAAGAGCAACAUCGGCUUCUCUUCUGGUCUUACAUCCUGUGCACACACCUGGCAGAGUUCUGCAAACUUGACAAGCAGUAGAGAAACCUGAGAAUGUUGUGAGAGACAAAGCAUGCAAUUUGGAACUGUACACUGGAUUCCUCUUGUUUGGCUACCUCCUCUGAAACCAGGUAAGCUUUCAGCAUUUAUUUCUUGCCACUACAUCCCAGAACAAUGCAUAGUCACAUCUUGACAUAAAUUUUAUACAGUUAAGUGUCACAUGAGGUCCAGCUGUACAUUGAUCAAGAACAUCCUCAGCAAUUCUCAUAAGCAUAAAUGAUGUAUUUAAAUACUUGUUUGUUUGUGCAUUGAUCAGCUCUGGAAUAGAUGUAGCAAUGUAACUUCUAGGAAGGGAGGGAGCAAGUCCCACAGAACUAAGAAGAGAAAGUUUUAAGAAUAUCAAUUUCAUGCCUGGUACUAAAAAAAAUCUACUUAGCCAGCCAUAGAAUGCAUCAGUGUACCAUUAAUGGUGAAAGGACUAUGGUUUGUGAGACACAGUUUGAAUGUGAUUUUCAGCUACAAAGAUGAGGCAGUUAUGAAAUAUGCAAGGCAGUAAGUUUACAGGAUGCAAACAGAUGAGGUAAGGAAGGGAAUGUCACUUUCAGAUUCUCCUAUAGUUCAUUUUUGCUUACCUUAUACCCAGUCACCUCAGACUCGUUCUCCAUGGCUCUUACUUCUUCCCAGUUGAGGAUUACUCUGGAGUCAGUAACGUUCCACACAACGUUUCCUGGUGGCUGACUGGGCGCUUUGAAUACAUAAUCAAAGCAUGACUUUAAUUUAAUUGCCAUUAGUGAUUUAUUCUACAGUAGGAAAUAACAGUUCAGGUAAUUGAUUGUCAUUACGUGUCGGAUGUAAAAGCAAGUCAAAUACAGCCUCGUCAUUUGUACACUUUAUGGUUCAGAGACUAAAUUGGAAAAACAGAAGGAAAGAAAAAGAGAAUAGCAAAUAGAUGUUAUUUCUGAAGUUGCAUUAUCUGUUGAUGGUGUUUCAUUAAAUGCAGUCAAACAAAAGCGUAUUUCUUCGGACACGGGUGAUCAAUUAGAACAUACUCUAAUGAAACCAAUGAUGAUAAGACAGUUCCUAUUUGUAGUAUGUUUUCAAGAAUAAGUAAGUAAAUACUCCACAAUAAACAAAUUUGGUUUUAGUGAAUAUUCAAACCAAUGUGCUGUGCUGAUAUACUUUAACGUGGCUGAAAUAUAAAAAUAGGUGAGAAGAUUUUUUGUUCUUCUGUUAACUUGAGGCAUGAUUUUGAAAUGCAAUCGGUACGGUUUCAGUAGUUGCAGUUGGAACAAUUAAUAGGCUUUAGCUAAGCAACUCUAUUGGUUUUUGGGGAUGUUUUUGUGGUGGUGUUCGUUAACAACCUGAGAGUUACUUUCAAAGGGAGUGGUACGCUUCUGGCUGUACACAUCAAUGGAAAGGUAAAGUACAAACCUGUUCAGAUGCUUCAAGUUGACUUCCCAGAAAGUGGAUGAUGCAGUGGACCGUUUAGCUAUUAAAAUAUUUCUAAAUGUGUUAAGGAAAACAAUUUACUGUUGCUGGCACCUAGUGGAGGCUACUGCUGCUUAGAUGGACUGCUCCAAGCUUUGAUGCUGAAGGUAUGCAGUAUUAACAACUAACAGUGCUUUAACAGCUUUGUGCCUGCACUCAUCCUUGUGGCUUUUUUUCCCCCUUCCCUUUAUUUUUAAGCUCAUUUGCAUAGGUAGCUCCAUUAGCAGUCAGAUCAUAAAGCACCUGACUAUAGAGCAUAGCACUGUGUGGACACAAAAUGUGAGGCCAAGAUAUAAAAUGACUGAAGUCAAACAACUAUUCAAAGAUCUAUUCUUUUGCAGUAUUUGUCUUGUUCUAUAUACUAAAUAGGAUUCAACCUGAUGCACUAAUAGCUAAUUUCUGUAAAUGUAAGAGGAGACUGUUCUUCUCCUGAGAAUUGACUAUUACAGCAGAUAUAGAUAGUUUACACACUCAGAUAUUAAAGCUGAAUUUGAGAGAAAUGUGUCACUCUCUUAAAUCCAAAACAAAAUAUGUCAUCUAAAAAGAUGAAGAAUAAUUAUUAUAGAAACUGUAAGCCUCUAUCACCUGACUUACAGAACUGAGUCAAAAGGCUCUAUUUGGCUUCAGCUACCCAAAUCUCCAAUAAUCUUCAAAUUUGUAGUAGAUAAUACCAAACCAUUAUUUCCAGUGCAAAGUGUGCAAAUAGACUUCUCUAGGACUCAUUAGAUGCUUGAAGUUAGUUACACACUAACAUUUCUCUUAAUUACAGCUGAUAGAACAGUUUGUUGUAAGACCUCCUGAAUAUUAAAUAACAACAUCUCACCUUGUAAACUCAGGUGAAACCUCCAAAAUUAACUACAAUUUUAUGCAACAAAAUAUUUAAAACUAGUUUUGAAAACUUCUUGUGUCAGAUACAAGCAGUAGACUAUGACGUGCUUCACAGUAACUGUAUGUAUAAGGUAUUUAAACCCCAGUAAAUAUAAAUUAAUCUGAGUUGAUUCAGUGCUCAGUGCUAGUGAGUGAUGCUUGUUUCUGCAUAUGAAGUUAUUGUGAAAUUAUAGUUUCAUAAUAUUGAUGAUACAGCUCCUUUCAGCAGAAGGACAUUUAUGACCUUUCAUACAGAUUUAAUUGUGCAUUCUCAUGAAUCUGGAAGAAAUACUUCAAAACUGAUUACCCUGAUUUUGAGUUGUAUUACAAAGCAAGAGCACAUUAAAUAUAUUUUUCACUUGUAGAAAAAUUAGUGCAGUCUUUGACAAUCUGUUCUCCAGCUUAAUUUCUCCUUUCUAAUAGGAAUGGGGCCUCUUGUGUAACUCGAUUAAGGGAGAACAAUGGAUGUGGAUGAUUAUUUUGCAUGAAUUGUGUGAGGAUCAUUCAAAUGCCAUGUCCCAGAGAACUUAAGGAUGUUAUAAAACCCUGAGAUAUUCAAUAAGUCACUGUUUUUCUUUCCAACUAACAGAAUUCUUUUUUACAUUCCUUAAGUCACUAAAAGAAUAAUAAAGUUUUUAUGCAGAAAUAAUCUUACCUCAGCUCCAUCGGUAUGGUUGAGUUUUACAUACUCAUUGUGCUAAAGUAGCAGAGGGUAAAAACUUAAGGAUCUGUGCUUGACUGAGUUGCUCAGCUCUUCUAUUCUGUAUGAAGAUUUAGGUCACUUAUGUGCAUCGUGAUUCCCAUUAAUGCGUCUAUUCUUCAUCUGCCUGCAAAUGCUAACACACCAUUAUGUCUCUCCCCACUUCAGAUCUGUGAUACUUACGUGUCUUCUUGGUGGUAGCAUUCACUGUGGCACUGAAGGGACCUGCUCCAGCACUGUUGUAGGCACGGACAGCUGUGUAGUAUGCUAAGUUGCUCUUCAAACCUGUUAUUCUUAUUGAUGUUUCAUUCCCUGCAGCUUUGACUCUGUUUGAAGAUUCUUCUUUUCCUCCAUUAUUCCAGUACCUAACCUAGUAGACAGAAAACAAAGCUACUUAAAAUGUUGGAUAAACGUUCAAUUCCAUGCAAUGGCAUUGGUUUGACUCCUUCAGGUGCAUAUCUGUCAGCUGAAAAAGGUAGAAACAUAUUAAAGUUUCCAAAAUAUGCACACUAUUUCAACAGAAUCACUCAUGCAUCUGCCUUUCAUGCUUUCUGCCCUUUUGACUGCAGAAAAAGCAAAACUGAAAUAUUAGAUGUUGCUCGAAUUAAAAAAUUACAACCAGAGGAAAAUCACUGCUUCAUCUACAAAGUAAACAAGGCUCAGAAAAUUGUAGCUCACAAAAUAGUUGCAAUUCUGAAAAAAUGGCAGUUUGAUAAUAUAGUUAAACACAUGACUCAUCACAGGAAGCAAAACCAUUUUAUUCGUGGUUCAAUUUCAAAGAUAAACAGAAGAAAACAUUCAAUUUCAGGGUGAAGAUGGUACAGAGAAAAAGCCCAGAUGGGUGGUAACCUUCUAUCAACUAGGUAUUACUAGAGGCUAAUACUCUAUACUAACAGCUGGUUGCUUUGAUUUUCAUAAAGCAAACAACAACCGCCCCCAGAAUGCUAUAUCUUCCUUUUUUAAACAGAAUCUUGACUUCUGAAUAGUGUCAGAGCUGGAAAACUACUGGGGAGAAGGCUCGGGCUGGCCAAACGUCCUCCCCAGAGCCUGUCCUGCACUGCACAACACUCAGUGUUGGCUCAGUCUAGAAGAAAGGUCAGGAUCGAGGCUGUCUGGCAUGAGCUAUGCAUGAGAAGGCAUUCUGGAUCGUGGCCCUUUAGAACAGGAGGAGCAUUUUAAAUGACAUUACCUCAUAACCCAGUAGCCUUCCACUACUCAUCUUCCAGGGAAUGGCUUUCCAGGAGACUUCGAUGACAGAGGAGGACAGGCUUGUCACGGACACACCAGAGGGGGCUACGACACCAACUUUGACUUCAUAUGGUGAAAACGGCAGGAUGCUUUCGUUCCUGAAGACGUAUCUGGGUGUGUCAGGAGAGGUGACUACAGUCUGUAUCCAUGUUGUGGUGCCAAAGGGGCGAAAAGCGACGACAUAUCCAAACCCUUCUCCAUUCUGUAACUCCUCGGGGAUGGGCUGUGAGAAAAGCAAUCAGUGACUGAAGCCUGUGAUGUUACGUACUGCACUGGAAAAGCUUUGAAGGAGCAAAGCAUCACUGUGAAUGUAUUGCAUGCAGCUGAAACUUGUUCUGGUCUGCAUUUGGGAUCACUGCAUCAACAAAUAAACUCUGGUACAGUAGAGUGAAAUGCUUUCAUUUGAAACUAUCUGCACAUCAAAAACAGAGCAACUCCCACAUACAUUUCUUGCUCUCCAGUAAGUACACUGCCUUAAGACACUUCAGUAAACAUAUUUUUUCAAUUUCUGGUCACAAUUCAUAGUACAUAAAUAAUAUCAGAGAAUUCAGUACUACCUCCUGUACAGUGUCUGCACCUUCCCCGGAUGUGAUUUGGUUAAGUAACAACAUAGAGUUGCUACUAUCAGUAUGAAAUAGCAUGGUAACAUUUUUUUAACUCAUUAAAAAUAGGAUACAUAAUUUAAAGUAGUAUUUUGAUCCUUUAGCUCUUGCAUCCAGAAUUAAUGGUAGGAAAGUACAAACUGGCAAGUUGCACUGACAUGUGUUUGAGAGCAAAAGUAACCUUAGACAAGCUAACUGAAUUUCUUACUGAUUGCAGUCUAACAGUAGCAAGUGGAACAGGGAAGGCAAAUGUGCAUAGCUCACAUUACAGAAUGUUACCGAGCACAUAUACACCCUAGAUAAGAAGCUGCUGCAGCCAGGAAAAUUCAUCUUUAAAGAAGCGUUUCAAUGAAAACAACCAUUCUCUGAAGAAAAUUGCUUGCCAGAAAACUUACAUCCCAUGUUAUGACCAGUUCAGACCUGCUGCCGCCUCCCCCACUGACUUCAGCUGGGGGAAUUUCAGGAACUGUGAAAAAAAAAACAUACAGCUGUCUACGCCGUGUAAACAGAUGAGAUGGUAUCACAAGUUAACCUCAUUCUCUGGAGCUAACUCUCUCGUUUUCUUAUUUCUUUUGCAAAUUGAGAUGAGUGCUUUAGAACCUGCGUGGGGCAGACACGCAUUUGAGUAUUUGCAGAACCUCACAAAUGGAACCCUGUAUGCUCUGCUUUAAAUGUUUAUGAGCAUCUAAAAAUCAGUGGCAUGCUUCAAGUUUUCAACAGGGCUAACUUACUUACACAGGCGUGCUGGGCAACAGCCUUAUCCUAAGUAACACCUGGGGUUUCAAUCAGUGUGUUCUGAGCUACAUGCUUGCACCAUGGAAGAUGUACACUGACCAAACGCCAGGAAGAGAAAGUUGUCAAAAUUCACCUCUUCCCCAUCCAUUUACAGCUUCAGACUGCGCAGCACUGACUGAACAGAGAGUUUGCCAUGCUAAAAAUAGCUGAAAUAUAUAUAGCUGAAAUAUAUUUGAAUAUAAUAUGUAGAUAUAAAGUGUCCUAAAGCUGAACACAAAUACUCACUAACAAACUAGUUACAGACUUUUACAUUUGAUGCAAAUUCCAAGCUUAAUUGAAUUGAGCCAAAUAAAUGAUUUAACUUUUAUUUUUUUUUAUAAAUUCUAGAUGCUUGAAUUAAAGACGAAUAGAAAAACCCACUAACCUGCCUCUUCAGUUCUUACUUUUUCUGAGGGUAAACUAGGUUCUCCACCUCCUAUUUUGUUACUGGCAACUACACGAAAUUCGUAUUCGACCCAAGGAUUUAAAUCCACCACUGUGGUUGUAAACGUAUUUCCAUCAAUCACGUCUGGAACUAUUAAUUAAAAAAAAAAGAGAAUUAAGAACCUGCUGUAUCCUGGCCAAGCAUAUUUCAAGUGAAGCUGUAACAAGAAAUGCAUUUUACCUGUGGUAACUCGCUGCCAGCCAACCGAGAAAGGUGUUCUUGCUUGUAUGGUGUAAGCAGUCACUGGGCUGUGAUUAUCUGUGCCUUCUUGCCAGGAGAUCUGAGCUGUGGUAUCGGUUAUUUCAUCCACUCUCACGUGUUCGGGGGGCCCAGGUGAGCCUAGGAAAAGAUUGAAAAAUAGGUGGUGUUUAGUAAAGCCAGUGCCCUGGAAAUCACUAAUACUGCAGUAAGGAUUCCCAUUCUAUUAAGUGCUGUGGGAAGAAGAAAACAUUUGGAUUAGGAUAAAUAUUUAUUAACAUUUAUUAUACUUGCAUCUGAUAAGGUAAUUCUGAAAUAGUAACCCUGAACUAUUACGCAGGUGACAGGUUUUGUUUUAGUUCACUGACCUUUGUUCAGCAUGAUUCCUCUUUCCAUUCCACAUUAUCUUGUAUUUUGGUCCUUGAUGUCCUCUUUUAAUCUACUAAAGUAUCUCUGCAGUUUGCCUAUUUGUUAUCUAGAGCUAUUUUAGUGUAUGAAGUACUGUAGCAAUUCUUCAUCAGAACAUCUGAUCAGCACCGUGAGCAACAAUUCAGUCAAGCAAACGUCCUCCUGCUGCAUUCUGGAAAAAUCCUGAUUCUGGGCAGCCAAAAAAUGCUCUUUCUGUCUUAUCUGCACCAACAAACUGGUGAAAUAACUAACAGUACAAAUGCCAUUAUAAAAUACCUGGUAUAUUUUGAAACACAUUGAAUAAAUCUUGAUUGCAUCAUGUUGGUUUCUGGAUUACUGCUUUUCUUUUGCAAUAAAUGUAGCUGCAUCAUCAACAAUGAAAGCUAUAGUUCACGCUUAGCUCUGCAAUCUCCUGCUCUUGAAAAAAAAUAAAUAAAUAACCCUGCAUUAUAUAAUUUCAAUUCCUGUGUGUCUCCAGGACAAAGCCCUUCAUACACUUUGGCAGCAGACGCCCAUUUCCCAGGAAGGAUGCUGGACCAUGGAGUCAUCAUUUAGCAGACACAGCAACAGUAUCACAGCUGCCAGUACUAAACUGCGCUCAUCAGUGGCUUGAAGGACAGUCAUAAGAAACGAUAUUAUGUCAUCAUUUAUAGCAUUCUUCAGUUAGUAAUUCUUUUCUGGGAAGAAGCAAGUUUCAUCCAAAACUGAGCCUAACUUCAAUGCAGAAUCACAUAAGUCAUAGAUGAACAGGUUUUGUAAUCUACACCAUCAGCUGUUUCUGCAAUCUACAGCACACAACAGUAAGAAAACAAUUCAUGGUAACUGAAGCUGAAAUUUACCUCGUACUAUAAGGUCGGCUGCAGAUGCCACACUGUCUACUUCUGUCUUCACCAUACAAACGUAUUUUCCACUGUGUUUCAGCUGGAUGUUCCUAAUCAUCAAAUCUCCUGAUGCACUCUGUCAAAAUACAAAGUUAUUUAAUUAAUUAGCAUAUAAUUUAAUAUUCAGACCACGUUUUAGAAGUGGAGGAAAUAUCACCCCAAACAUGUAAGUACAAGAUAAACUAGACAGAUAAACUACAGGGGCAGCACAGCAGGUUAUUAGCCAGCAGUUGCUCCAUGCUACAUGGCUGUAAGCACUCUCCUAGCAGACAGGAGUUAAUGCCCCUCCUUAUAUGAGAAGCAAGCUGCAGCACAGGUGCCCAACACUGGGAACACACCUGCAGACAGCUGUUAGGAACCAGGAGGAAAGUCACCACCCUGUGCCUCCAAGCCACAAGAAAGAUGUGAUUUCUAUAGCUAUCACUCAAUCUGACUUCUAGACAGAAUUCACAAGUCUAAUUAUCAAAGACAUUCAAAGAGUUAAAAAAAGGUAACUAACAAAGCUGAACCUGGUCCGUUCUGAAGGCUUAAAGAUGAAAUGCAGAAAGGUACAGUACGAGUCCUGGGUCAGUGUGCUGCUGAGCCCCUCUCACCGAGCACCUCCUAUCCCUGGCAGUUUGUCUGGGAUUUCCUUCUGCCAAGUUGCUUUGCAUUGUGAGCACACCUGGAUUUAAGUGUAAUGCCUCUGCAUCUCUUUGGCUGAUUGCCCUGAUUUUAAGGUCCUACUUCUAUUCUUUCUUUUUUCAUUGUGCAUUCAAACGUCAGUCAUUUCUUUUCCUCUGUCCUCUCUCAUAUUACACCACCUGGUUGAUAAGAAUCAAAGAAAGCAUGCAAAGAGCUUGAGUGAGUGAUAGCAGUAACUUUGCAUUGUGUUACAGACUCUGUAUUAUUUGUUUUCUACAUUACUGAAAUAGAGCACUCAAUCCUAAACUUCUGGUAGUCAGUCUGCUUCAAAACCUCCUCACGUGCCAACUGAACUGCCUCAGUCCUGCUCACAUCAAAGCUUCCAGGUGAAAAAUCUGUCAGAUUCCAUUUUUUCCCUUUUUUCUAAUUUUGUGGAGCAGCAGUUUCAGUUGAGCACAGAACCAUAAUUGCAGGCAUUCUCAGCUCUCUGACCACAACAGAUUCUUGAGAACAGUGAUGUGGGAGAAAGGGAAGACAUGACUGCUGUGGUCUCCAGCAAAAGAGUCAACAAUCUUUCCAACCCUUUGUCUUUAGCCAUUAAUUAUUUCUUAUGCUCACACUAAUUGCUUCUGCUUGGAUCCUUAUAUUUCAAGAAUAAUUUCUUUUCAUGGAGACUGCCAUUAUCUCAGAUAAAUCUCUAACUAGAUACAAAUCAGCUGUGCCUCUUCGUCACAAGCAUUUGAGUCUCAUUCACUGAUGUCAACGUCUGCAGUUGAUGUGUAGGAUGAACAUUAGAACGUCUCACACAGAAGCUGAAAAAGCUUUGCCUGCUUCCCCUUCCCUUCCAAGUGUGAUAAUAUAAAUACAAUGCCAAGUCUUCUUCAGAAACAAAGAUGUAAACAUUUAGAGGACAGAGCAGCACUGGUUGCCUCCAGUACCCUAAAAGUUAAGCUGAAGGCAAUCUCAAAUCCAUCUAACUUGAUUGGAAGUGGAUAUUCAGGAAAUGAUCAGGAACAACAACGGAUACGCACAAAGCAAAUCAUGUUCUACAUGAACUAAUUGUAGCAAACUAGAUUUAAACCAUCUAGGCAGAGGGACUAUCAAAUAAAAUAAUCCUACUGAAACAUAACACUGAAAUAUUAACACCGCAUUUCAACUAUUUGCGGAUGCUUUGGAGGAGCAUCCUGAAGUAUUGAGGGGAAGAUGUGCAGCAGCAAAAAGCUCCAAGGCACUCAGCUCCCAUGGCUCUGCAGACCAAAAGCAGUGCCCACAUUCUUGCCUAGCCAGAUUAAGUCGUUGUCAGUGUGGACAAGUCCAGGUGGCAGUAAGGUCACCUUCCUUUCUCAAUGCUACACAGAAUAGCAAUAAGCAGAAGUGCACGCAUAGUACGAACAUCUGCUGGAACUGCUUUUGCUUUUCCUGACUGCAUUACAAUUUCAGCCAUUGCUGGGCUGUAUGAAUACGCAGUUUAGAAGAACUCUGCUUGUUUUGCCUAUAGCCUUUGUAUAAAUCAUUUAUCUAGCAGAAAAGAGCAGUACAGCAGUGAUAUAUCCUAUGUUUUUCAAACCAUCUGGAAGACCAGGUCACGGUGCCAUAACAUUCCCACUAACCACUACAUGUCAGGGAUCUCAGGCACACAUGGCAGGGACUGCCAAGAUAUCAUUACACAGAUCUCCAUCCACUGAAAAAUUAUUUUCCUUUUGCCAUGUUUAUCAACAAAGCUGAAGUUAUGCACAGAUAUUUCCAUUUAACAAAUACACACUGGAAGGCUUCUUUACUUACUGGGAUGAAAUUAUUCCAUCAACAUUAGUGGGAUCCAGACAAGCCCACAUAAUAGUUCUCUCUAUCUCCCAGUUACCCAUGGAGUUUUUCCACUGAGGAGGUUCAAUCCCCUUUUUUAAUCAGGUAAGACUUAAAAAAAAGUCACCUAAACCUCAGUAUUCCGUAACUACCCAUAAUCCUAUGCCAUACAACGAACUCCCAGGCUUUUAUGGAGAAAAUGUUCUACAGUCAGAAGUCUCAGUUACUCAAUACUCUGAAAUUUCCUUCACAACUGGUUGAGAAGUUUUCAUGAAAUCCUAUUUUUUUUUAAGCUUUUUGUUUUUUUAUUUUUUCUUCUCUCCACGUGGGGAAAAGUUCAGUAUGGCCUCCCUCUGUCACCAGGGGAGGCUUAAAGAGAGAAGUGAGGGAAACACCAGAGGUAGAAGAGCAGGAAAAAUAAGAUGGAUUAUAAUUUUUGUUAGCUUUUAGGCUGAAGCUCUCAAAAUCUGAAACAAGUUCCUCAAUCUGUCAUUGCUAUGUUUCAUGUGAUCCAAGGAAAAUCACGUAGCGCCAGAUGCAGAGACAGGUAGGCACUUAUAAAACUUCAGGUUUAAAAUACGAGAUAUCUGGAUACCAGGUUAUGUACUGCAAGCUAGAUCCAUGAAUGACUUCUCUGCAACAAAGAACACCACAUUCCAUAUGCCCAAAAGAGAAGAAAAAACCUUUACAGUGUUGGAAAGAGUAAGCAAGCCUGUCUGUGCUGCAUCUAUACAUCUACAAGAGAAGAGAUGUUCACAACUUACCCCUCCAACCUUCUCAAAAUGAGAGGCAUCUUUUUUGAAGUCAGUGAGCG
rnacentral:lncRNA from 1 species